GGUUGAUCCUGCCAGUAGUCAUAUGCUUGUCUCAAAGAUUAAGCCAUGCAUGUCUAAGUAUAUACUGACAUAUACUGUGAAACUGCGAAUGGCUCAUUAAAUCAGUUAUAGUUUAUUUGAUGAUACUUACUACUCGGAUAACCGUAGUAAUUCUAGAGCUAAUACGUGCGCACAUCCCGACCUCUGGAAGGGACGUAUUUAUUAGAUAAAAGGCCAUCCGGGCUUGCCCGAUCAAUGGUGAAUCAUGAUAAUUUAACGAAUCGUAUGGCCUUGUGCCGACGAUGUUUCAUUC
rnacentral:rRNA from 1 species